rnacentral:rRNA from 1 species
ACGAACGCUGGCGGCGUGCUUAACACAUGCAAGUCGAACGCGCCUGUCCUCUGGGUUUCUGGGGGGUGGGUGAGUGGCGAACGGGUGAGUAACACGUGAGUAACCUGCCCCCUUCUUCGGGAUAACGGUCUGAAAGGGCUGCUAAUACCGGGUAUUCACUGGUCUCCGCAUGGGGUCUGGUGGAAAGGUUUUUUUCUGGUGGGGGAUGGGCUCGCGGCCUAUCAGCUUGUUGGUGGGGUGAUGGCCCACCAAGGCUUUGACGGGUAGCCGGCCUGAGAGGGUGACCGGUCACAUUGGGACUGAGAUACGGCCCAGACUCCUACGGGAGGCAGCAGUGGGGAAUAUUGCACAAUGGGCGCAAGCCUGAUGCAGCGACGCCGCGUGAGGGAUGGAGGCCUUCGGGUUGUGAACCUCUUUCGCCCGUGGUCAAGCCGCGACGUGGGUCGUGGUGAGGGUAGCGGGUAAAGAAGCGCCGGCUAACUACGUG